GACGAACCGUGCAAACGUUGUUCGGAAUCACUGGGCUUAAAGGGCGCGUAGGCGGGCAAGCAAGUCGAAGGUGAAAUCCCACGGCUCAACCGUGGAAGUGCCCCCGAUACUGCUUGUCUUGAGGGAGAUAGGGGCGUGCGGAACUUCCGGUGGAGCGGUGAAAUGCGUAGAUAUCGGAAGGAACACCGGUGGCGAAAGCGGCGCGCUGGAUCUCUUCUGACGCUGAGGAGCGAAAGCGUGGGGAGCAAACAGG
rnacentral:rRNA from 1 species